AUUGCCUCUUGGUCUUUGGCUAAGAUCUACUGUAGUAUCAGUUUAAUAUCAGAUAUGUCAUCUAUUUGAAAACAAUAUAUUAAAUAGGUUUCUGGGGCUGGAAGAAUGAAUAAGAGCUCUCUCCAUCCAUUCCUUGUCUUUACCUGGUAUUGUAGUAUUUCCAGGUAUGAUACACCAGAA
rnacentral:snRNA from 1 species